rnacentral:rRNA from 1 species
AGAGUUUGAUCAUGGCUCAGAUUGAACGCUGGCGGCAGGCCUAACACAUGCAAGUCGAACGGUAACAGGAAGCAGCUUGCUGCUUCGCUGACGAGUGGCGGACGGGUGAGUAAUGUCUGGGAAGCUGCCUGAUGGAGGGGGAUAACUACUGGAAACGGUGGCUAAUACCGCAUAAUGUCGCAAGACCAAAGAGGGGGACCUUCGGGCCUCUUGCCAUCGGAGGUGCCCAGAUGGGAUUAGCUUGUUGGUGGGGUAACGGCUCACCAAGGCGACGAUCCCUAGCUGGUCUGAGAGGAUGACCAGCCACACUGGAACUGAGACACGGUCCAGACUCCUACGGGAGGCAGCAGUGGGGAAUAUUGCACAAUGGGCGCAAGCCUGAUGCCGCCAUGCCGCGUGUAUGAAGAAGGCCUUCGGGCUGUAAAGUACUUUCAGCGGGGAGGAAGGGAGUAAAGUUAAUACCUUUGCUCAUUGACGUUACCCGCAGAAGAAGCACCGGCUAACUCCGUGCCAGCAGCCGCGGUAAUACGGAGGGUGCAAGCGUUAAUCGGAAUUACUGGGCGUAAAGCGCACGCAGGCGGUUUGUUAAGUCAGAUGUGAAAUCUCCGGGCUCAACCUGGGAACUGCAUCUGAUACUGGCAAGCUUGAGUCUCGUAGAGGGGGGUAGAAUUCCAGGUGUAGCGGUGAAAUGCGUAGAGAUCUGGAGGAAUACCGGUGGCGAAGGCGGCCCCCUGGACGAAGACUGACGCUCAGGUGCGAAAGCGUGGGGAGCAAACAGGAUUAGAUACCCUGGUAGUCCACGCCGUAAACGAUGUCGACUUGAAGGUUGUGCCCUUGAGGCGUGGCUUCCGGAGCUAACGCGUUAAGUCGACCGCCUGGGGAGUACGGCCGCAAGGUUAAAACUCAAAUGAAUUGACGGGGGCCCGCACAAGCGGUGGAGCAUGUGGUUUAAUUCGAUGCAACGCGAAGAACCUUACCUGGUCUUGACAUCCACGGAAGUUUUCAGAGAUGAGAAUGUGCCUUCGGGAACCGUGAGACAGGUGCUGCAUGGCUGUCGUCAGCUCGUGUUGUGAAAUGUUGGGUUAAGUCCCGCAACGAGCGCAACCCUUAUCCUUUGUUGCCAGCGGUCCGGCCGGGAACUCAAAGGAGACUGCCAGUGAUAAACUGGAGGAAGGUGGGGAUGACGUCAAGUCAUCAUGGCCCUUACGACCAGGGCUACACACGUGCUACAAUGGCGCAUACAAAGAGAAGCGACCUCGCGAGAGCAAGCGGACCUCAUAAAGUGCGUCGUAGUCCGGAUUGGAGUCUGCAACUCGACUCCAUGAAGUCGGAAUCGCUAGUAAUCGUGGAUCAGAAUGCCACGGUGAAUACGUUCCCGGGCCUUGUACACACCGCCCGUCACACCAUGGGAGUGGGUUGCAAAAGAAGUAGGUAGCUUAACCUUCGGGAGGGCGCUUACCACUUUGUGAUUCAUGACUGGGGUGAAGUCGUAACAAGGUA